rnacentral:rRNA from 1 species
GUGGGGAAUCUUAGACAAUGGGGGCAACCCUGAUCUAGCCAUGCCGCGUGAGUGAUGAAGGCCUUAGGGUUGUAAAGCUCUUUCAGCUGGGAAGAUAAUGACGGUACCAGCAGAAGAAGCCCCGGCUAACUCCGUGCCAGCAGCCGCGGUAAUACGGAGGGGGCUAGCGUUGUUCGGAAUUACUGGGCGUAAAGCGCACGUAGGCGGACCAGAAAGUUGGGGGUGAAAUCCCGGGGCUCAACCUCGGAACUGCCUUCAAAACUAUUGGUCUGGAGUUCGAGAGAGGUGAGUGGAAUUCCGAGUGUAGAGGUGAAAUUCGUAGAUAUUCGGAGGAACACCAGUGGCGAAGGCGGCUCACUGGCUCGAUACUGACGCUGAGGUGCGAAAGCGUGGGGAGCAAACAGGAUUAGAUACCCGAGUAGUCC